rnacentral:lncRNA from 1 species
GGCAUCUGGGAUGCAGAGAGCACCAGUCCUCCCAGCACUCCGCGCUGUCCUGGAAAUGGAAAGUGAGCUGACUGUUAAGCCAAGUCCUGAAGAGAGAGACCUGAGAGCCCUCAGGAGUCUGAGGCCAGCAAAGACAGGAUCCUUUCCUGACAAUCACUGACCCGUCCACGAGGGGCUCGUCUAAUAGAAAGAUUGAUGAAAGGACACAGACGCUGCAGCAAGUCUUUUCGGUUGUAACAGAACAGAAAAGUCAACGGCCCGAGGCUCGCUGACCCACGUGCGUGCGGAGAGAAGAGCGGCUUCACAGGCACCAGCUACACUACUUACAGAGCAGCAGCCCCGGAGAUGAUCUCUAUCAGCUCCUUCGUGAUGACGGCCUGGCGGGUGCGGUUGAAAGUCAGCGUCAAUUUAUCAAUCAUAUCAGCUGCAAACAAAAGGGACAGACAGACACCACAAUAAAACGUUUUG